AGAGUUUGAUCCUGGCUCAGAAUGAACGCUGGCGGUAUGCCUAACACAUGCAAGUCGAACGGUUCCUUCGGGAAUAGUGGCGGACGGGUGAGUAACGCGUGAGAAUCUGCCUUCAGGAUGGGGAUAACAGCGGGAAACUGCUGCUAAUACCCAAUGUGCCUAAGGGUGAAAGUAAUUCGCCUGAAGAGGAGCUCGCGUCUGAUUGGCUAGUUGGUGGGGUAAGAGCCUACCAAGGCGACGAUCAGUAGCUGGUCUGAGAGGAUGAGCAGCCACACUGGGACUGAGACACGGCCCAGACUCCUACGGGAGGCAGCAGUGGGGAAUUUUCCGCAAUGGGCGAAAGCCUGACGGAGCAAUACCGCGUGAGGGAGGAAGGUUCAAGUAAUUGUAAACCUCUUUUCUCAGGGAAGAAAAAAAUGACGGUACCUGAGAA
rnacentral:rRNA from 1 species